GACGUAGGGGGCGAGCGUUAUUCGGAAUUAUUGGGCGUAAAGAGCUCGUAGGCGGUCUGUCGCGUCGGAUGUGAAAACCCAGGGCUCAACCCUGGGCCUGCAUUCGAUACGGGCAGACUAGAGUGUGGCAGGGGAGAACGGAAUUCCUGGUGUAGCGGUGAAAUGCGCAGAUAUCAGGAGGAACACCGGUGGCGAAGGCGGUUCUCUGGGCCUGUACUGACGCUGAGGAGCGAAAGCGUGGGGAGCGAACAGG
rnacentral:rRNA from 1 species